rnacentral:rRNA from 1 species
UACGGGGGGGGCAAGCGUUGUUCGGAAUUACUGGGCGUAAAGGGCGCGUAGGCGGCCUACUAAGUCGGACGUGAAAUCCCUCGGCUCAACCGGGGAACUGCGUCCGAUACUGGUGGGCUUGAAUCCGGGAGAGGGAUGUGGAAUUCCAGGUGUAGCGGUGAAAUGCGUAGAUAUCUGGAGGAACACCGGUGGCGAAGGCGGCAUCCUGGACCGGUAUUGACGCUGAUGCGCGAAAGCUAGGGGAGCAAACGGG